AACGUACGCUGGUGGCGUGCUUAACACAUGCAAGUCGAACGAGAAAGUUUCCUUCGGGGAAUUAGUAAAGUGGCGCAAGGGUGAGUAUCACGUGAAUAAUCUGCCCUCGAGAUCGGGAUAACAUGGUGAAAACUAUGCUAAUACCGGAUAAGACCACAUUUCAUAAGAAAUGCGGUAAAAGGAGUCUCAAUCUUCACUCGAGGAUGAGUUCGCGCAACAUUAGCUUGUUGGUGAGAUAAAAGCUCACCAAGGCUACGAUGUUUAGCCGGCCUGAGAGGGUGAACGGCCACACUGGAACUGAGACACGGCCCAGACUCCUACGGGAGGCAGCAGUGGGGAAUAUUGGACAAUGGGCGCAAGCCUGAUCCAGCCAUGCCGCGUGAGUGAAG
rnacentral:rRNA from 1 species